rnacentral:tRNA from 1 species
GCCGGUGUGGUGGAACUGGUAGACACGCAGGAUUUAGGAUCCUGUGUCCUCGGACGUGCAGGUUCAAGUCCUGUCACCGGCA